rnacentral:rRNA from 1 species
AUUGAACGCUGGCGGCAGGCCUAACACAUGCAAGUCGAGCGAGCGGCGGACGGGUGAGUAAUGUAUGGGGACUGCCCGAUAGAGGGGGAUAACUACUGGAAACGGUGGCUAAUACCGCAUACUGUCGGAUAACCCAUAUGGGAUUAGCUAGUAGGUAAGGUAAUGGCUUAUCUAGGCGACGAUCCCUAGCUGGUCUGAGAGGAUGGUGAGCCACACUGGGACUGCGACACGGCCGAGACUCGUACGGAGAAAGCAGGGGGGAAUAUUGCACAAUGGUCGAAAGCCUGAUGCAGCCAUGGCGCGGGUAUGAAGAAGGCCCUCGGGGUGUAAAGUACUUUCAGUCGGGAAGCGUUACCGACAGAAGAGGCACCGGCUAACUCCGUACCAGCAGCCGCGGUAAUAC